GUUUGCUGAUGAGAGGGAGCAGGCGAUUGGCCGUUGAUAAUUACUGUAUAGUCUAACUCUGGCAUGGCUAUAGUAACGGUAACCUCCACGGCAGUAACGUCUGCUGGUUGAUUUUUUUCUCGUAUAUCAUGGAAAUGUCAAUGCUAUGCUGGCAUUUUAACCUCAGCUCACUGGUGUGGAUGUAUCAUACGAGCAUAACAAAUCUUAGAUAGUAACAUGUUUUUACAGACGCAGGCGUCAGUCAGCCAGGUACACAUAAAGCACUAGUAAAGUAGUCAUUCGAGGCACUGCUGUCGAGAAGAAUACAACUCGCAAUAAUUUCCAGUGGUAGUUUGGAUUUAUGUCAUUAUUCCUAAACGUGGUAUGAAAAAAUUCAUCGAAAUAGCAUGUGGACGGGUUAUGAAGUUUGUGUAUCUGUUUAUUUGGAGUAUUAGCUAAUUUGUAGGUCCGGACACAGCGCAAUGUUCCGGAUACAAGUAUACAUCUUUCGGAUACUGUGCUCUUUGCUGGUGUCAUCAACAAUAGUGUCCAGCAUCCGUUGCUACGAAUGUGAAAACGGCGUCAAUCCUGCAUGUGGCAAAUACUUCAAGGCCUAUCAGUUUAAGGCGAAAAAAUGUGGAGAUGGCAGUCAUCCUUUUUACAAGUGCGCACUCCAGCGGCAGACGGAGUCAGAUGGCUGGGUCGGGAUUGCCAGAGUCUGCUAUCAGAUGGGCACCUUGUACGGUCUUAAUGAGACGGAUGGAUGCCGCGAAUGGACUAACGAUAUCGGAUUUACCGCCCUCUAUUGUUUUUGUUCCACAAACUUCUGUAACAACGGAAUUAAUCUCUCGUCAGAUACGCUUUUACUCUUCGCAAGUACUUUGACGUUGGUAUGCUCUUUUUUGUUCCACUAGCAUGAGUCACAUACGGUGACGCUGUGGUGCUAUUUUGGUUAACACUUUUCCAAUCAAUAUUGGUGUACGUCGUCGGCUUCAAUGGUUCAAGAAAGUAGUAAUUGCGCUAUAGGAGAUGCAACGAAAAGCCGACGAGAUUGGUGACCUGUGUCACUAAUUACCGCCUUAGAAGCUAGUGGUUGAAGUUGUGGACAGUAACGAAGUAUGAUUGUUCCGUUACCGUUGUAGAAGGCGGAACCAGGAAAGCCGUCAAUUCUUUGUCUUUUGUAAGCGCUGUAACAGAAAGCACUACCAGCUUAGGAAUGUCGUCAAUUGUGUUUCCCUGGUUAGCACUGUACAAGAAAAGCACCACGAGCGUAGGAAAGCUGUCCUUUUGUAGUCCGUGGUUAGCGCUGUACAAUGAAGCACAAGGGACUAAUAUAAAUGGUCUAUUGUUUGUCCUUCGUUGGCGCUGUAAAAGAGUGCACCAGGAGUUUAGAAAAUUUGUUAAUUGUGUGACAUUCGUUAGCAGUGUACAAGGAAGCACAAUGGGGUUAGGAAAUCCGUCAAUUUGUGUUCCUGCUUAGCACUGUACAAGGAAGCGACAGGAGCUAAAGAAGCCGAAGAAAGUGGUUUAUUGUGUGUCCGUAAUCAGCUCUGCACAAUGAUGCACAAUGGGCGGAACGAAAUGGUCCAUAAUGUGUCCUUCGUUAGCGCUGUAAAGGGAAGCACCAAGGGUUUAGAAGCUUGUCCGUUGUGUGUCCAUUGUUAGCAGUGUACAAGGGGGAACCAAAAGCUGAUGAACGUGUCCUUGAUACAGGCUUGCACUGUGAGUUGGACACAAUGGUAAAGUAUGUGACGCUUCUUGUCACCAUAUAGAGUGGCGCAUUGGGGAAACGUGGUCAAUUUAGUUUACAUUGUUAUCGUUGGACAUGGUGGCAUGAGGAGCUCGGUAAAGGUUUAAAUUGUGUGUCACAAGUAACCGCUUUCCUAAGUGGCAAUAAGGGCUCGAAACAGUGGUGAAGUGAGUACCACUAGCUCCCACUGUACGAGAUGGAGUGAGCUACGAACAUUAGUGAAACGUGUUUCACUAGUUACUGCUGUAUAAGGUGACACAAAGGCCUGGACACGGGCGUGAAAUGUUUAUCACUGGCUACCCCCUCUCAAGGUGGCACUGAUAUUCAACAUACCAUCCGAAUGCUGAUAUGAAAUCACAUCGAGGCACUAAGGUGCCUACACAUAUUUACCAAACACAAUUACAAAGGCGCGGUGGUGCGUUUCUCGUGCUUAGUGACAAGGACAAAACAUGGCGGUAAUAUCAUCCCUCCUCACGCUGGAUGCACAAAGUAAUUGAAUCUGAUGCGUCCAAAGUAUUUAAGUUUAUAACUAUAGUAUUGGACUUUGACACCACUGUGAUAUAGCUCUGAACAGUAUGAUAAGGAGGUCACGUUUCAUCAAGAAUAUCUCUGAAACGAUGAGAAUCACCAAAUCAUUCUGAUCCUUACCUUGAUCAGUUAAUCGAUGUGAUGCAAAUACAAUAGUGGAAGUUGCUGUUAUAUUUCUGUUACCAUAGUUACGGCGAACGGGAGUGGCGGUGCACAAUACAUGAAUAUGUAAAGACGAUGCACAAUACAUGAAUAUGAAAAGUGUAUUUUAGGAAAAAGUAGACAUGUUUUAGAUAACUUGACUUAGUCAUGUGAUGAAGUCAGGUUUAAUCGAUGAAAAUCGAUGAUAUGAAACAAUCGGGAACGACGGAGUUGUAUAACAUAAUAACAUAUAAAAUAUGUAUUAUAUAAACUGUAUUUCCAUGCAUCUGGCAAGGUAAACCAUUGUUAGGUAUGUAGGUACGAGUUUUGGAAGUCUUAUUUUGUGGGGAGUGUUUCUAGACGUUUUUGAAAUUAAGAUCAACAACCCCGCCCUUAUGGUAAAUAUAUAUGGCAAUGUCGUUAAUAGAAAUGACAUUUUUACCAAGUGUUGAUUUAAACACAUAAAACGUCUGUUAAUGCCUCUGCAUGCCAGAACAGAUUUAAACAACACAUGCUGAGAUUGAUUAUCAGGCCCUUGUGCUUUACCUGUCAGUGUUAAACCCAUCCGUCCGGUGCAUGACACUAUGUAUACAUACACAUAUAUAAAUAUUGGCUUGAGGUGGGAUGUACAUAGAAAAGUGAUGUCAACUAUGCAGACUUUGUCUCGUUCUCUAUUCAGAACGGCACGGAACAAAUUGUGCUAUUUCCCUUCGUUCGUUGACAAGUCAGAUGAAUGGAUGCCCUGUUUGACCUUUGACCUUUAGACUUUAGAAUUGCCAUUGCGAUCACAGGAUUGCAUGUGACAUUUAUCACUUACUUAGAACCACUCUCUAUAAGACAGCAGGAAUGUACUACCCUUCCAACCAAACCCGUUAUCACAGUCAGUUUGGUUUGAAAUAUCCUAUUUUUUUGUGUGAUAUGGCAUAUAAUUGCAUUCUUCCAAAAUAUGGAAUAUAGGAAUCCAUUACGACUGAAGCAACUGUUACUGUGACGAAAUACUGUCUAUUAUCAACAAACAAACGAAUAAAAUUGUCAUAUCAAGUACGUUAUGUUCCUGACCUUAGUGUACAAAACUGAUUAUGAUGCAUUCAACGAUUAGAAUAUCCUUACCAUGAUUAUUGGAGGGAUCCUAAAACAUUACUUUAGUUUUCUGUUUAAAUAUUUCACCAGAACAUUAUUCAAUUUUACUUCUUUAUAAAAUUACAGCUUACUGUUUCCCAAUGGCAUUUAAAGUGGCCAUUAUCGCUUAUUUUUAUCUCAUUUGAAUUUGAUUAGUAACGAAAACGUAUAAGUAUAGUUUUCUGGCGAUUAUUCAAAUUUAUCAUACAUUUAAUGUCAUCAUUGUUUCCAUUUAUUAUUAUUCCAAGUUCGUAUCUAACGAUUACUAUUAUACAAAUGUAUCAAACUGAAGAGUUAUCAUUCAAUCACAUGUUUAUUUUCCUUGUCUUAAAUUUGCUUUUAUUGUGCAAAAAGUGUUACUUUUAUGCUUUCCCCAGCUAGAAAUCCUUUUUGAGAUUUUUGUAUUCUUCUCAAAUGUUAAUAUGAUCUAUCUCUGUAAUUGACGUUUAAACAACACGUUCUCUUUCCUGAUUCUGUGAACUAGUUAAUGUCAAAAGAGAUGCGCAUGGUUAGGUUCUAUUACUCAAUAUUUCCAUGUUUCUUCUAAAUUAAUACAAAUGUGAUUGACUAGAUCAAUCAAAACAAUUUUAAGGUAAUCUCAUCGCUUGAAGCCAAAAAUCGGAGAAUAGUGGAAUGUAUGAGAAAAAAAAUCUCUGGUUCAAUUUCGAGAGGCAUUUUUGGAUUAAAGUUUAAAAUCUAACAUUUUUCAUAACUUAAGCAAGUUGAAUUAACUUGCAAGUUUUAGACCAUCAAAAUGUUUGUAAAUAAAAUGCCCGAAAUAUUUACUAUCAACAAACGAUUGAUAGUCAAACGAUGAGUAUGAAUAGGUUAACCCAUACAGGACUUUGCGUAAUGCAUUUGUGAGUGAAAAUAUGUGUACCCCCAUGACUGAAUAUAGUUUGAGGUGUGUUUUGGAGAUGAAGUCGGGAACCUUACCAUGAACAUUAAUAAAUUGAGUGUUAUAAAAUGUGUUAUUCUUUAGACGAGUUGCAAAAUGAAGCAAAUGAAGAUAAAGACGCCGCAUCUGUAUAAUUGCCUAUUUAUAGAGUUUUGAUUUUUGUAUAAGUGUUUGUAAUAGCGCAAAUAAUUUGUAAAGUAGGAGUACUAUUCAACUUUGAUUAUUUCAGGUAUGUCUUUAUAUUUUUCCUUUGACCUUAAAAAAAGAUAUAGUCUCUUGUUUUGACAGCCUGCUGGCCUGGUUACAGAAAUAUUGGAAUGUUUUUCCUGCAAUGACGGUCUCAGAUUCCUCUAGAUUAUUGUUUCCCAUGAAUGAAUAGAAAAAAUGUCUCACGUUUUAUUUCGAAUCAUAAAAAGAGGGGAAAUGCUUGAAGUGUUAUUAUAUGCUUUCCAGUUUAUAGAGAUAUUGAUUUCUUUCGCUGUAAUGGCGUUCAACUAUUAGCAAAUUCAUUAUUGUAUUUUACCACUACUGUCUAAAUAAUAUUUUGGAUAAAGGUUGAAAGACCGGUUCCGAACUUUUACCGGACAUAUAGCACAAACAUUCACGUUUUCAAAAUAUAAUCUUUGUAGGAAUAUUGACCUCCUGCAGGACUGUUUGCCCUGUAAGAAUGCUUUCUGGCUGUAUGAAUAUUUGCCUGUUGAAGGAUUUUAUGCCUGAUGAAAGAAUGUUCGCCUGUUGUAAGAAUAUUGCCCUGUAUGAGGAAUAUUUGCCUACUACAGUCAUGGUUUUCUGGCGUAUUCAUGCUUGUCUGAUGCAGCAAUUUUUAUUGUUUGCAUGUUGUUGGUAUAUUUGUUGAUUGUUUGAAAGUCUGGCUAUUGCUGUAGAAAUAUUUGCCCUCUAGGAAUGUUUUAUUCUGUUGCAGGAAAGAUUACCUGCAUAAGGAAUGUCUGUGAGCGGUAUAAUUGUUUAUGAGCAUUAAAGAAAAAGGUUUUUUUUAGGAAAGUUUGCCAUAUAAGAAUGUUUGCUGUAAGAAAUACUUGUCUGUUGCAACAAUGUUGCAUACUGUAUGGAAGUUUGCCUACUGUAAGAAUGUUUUUCCAAGUAGAGCGUUUGUGUGCUGAAGGGAUUUUUGCCUGCUAUAUCCCAGUGAGCACAUAACGUUGCUACAACGUUGUGUUCAAGUCAGAUUCUUACGUUGCAUAUUGGUUCCCAGAAGGUUGCAUGUGAAAGUUUUCCUGACAUCUUUUCAUAACGGUGCCACUACGUUGUGUUUAGGUCAGAUCCUAACGUAAUAUUUUGGUCCGUAGAAGGUUGAAGGUGAACGUUUUCCUGACGUCUUUCCACAACGUUGUAGCAACGUUAUGAUAUUAUCUGAAUUCAACAUUUAUACAAGGUUAUAUACAAACGUUGUCCGAACGUGGGUAACAACAAAGACGUCAGAUUUCGAUUUUGUUUUAUUAAAAAUAUUAACAUGCAUGCAUUAUUACAUGCACAAUGUAUAAGAUUUAUAAGAUUUAUUCAUCCAUCAUUCCUCUUCUAGUUUGACAUGGCUUGGCCCGCUUUAGAUUCGGUGUCCUUCAUAUUCUCUAUGUUGAUUCUGCAACAAUAACAUAUAUGUAUUAUUGACUUAAACAUAGAUAUAUACACAUAUUUAGAGAAAGAUUCUAUGUAAUGAAAGAAUAAUCACGUCUGAUUGUAGGAAGUGUUUUCAUUCUAUCGGAUGUUAAUCUCGACUGUGCAAACAUGAAUACUUUAUUAACAAUAAAAAUAAUAGUAGUUUAAAUGCACAAAGUAACCACCCACGUUUUUUCACAUGUGACGCAACACGUCAACAUACUUUCACAAAGUGACAAAACACGUCAACAUAUUUUUACAUAGUGACACAACACGCCAAUAUAUUUUCACAUAUUGACACAACACUUCAACACACUUUCACAUAGUGACACAACACGUCAACGUAUUUUUCCAUAGUGGCACAAGACGUCAACAGACAUUCACGAAUUGCCACAACACGUCAACGAAUUUUCACAUAGUGACAUAACACGUCAACAUAUUUUCGCAUAGGGACACAACACGCCGAUAUAUUUUCACAUAUUGACACAACACAUCAACACACUUUCAUACAGUGACACAACACGUCAACGUAUUUUCAAAUAGUGACACAACACGUCAACGUAUUUUCAAAUAAUGACACAACACGACAACGUAUUUUCACAAAUUGACACAACACGUCAACAUAUUUUCACGUAGUGACACAAUACGUCAACAUCAUAUCACAUAGUGACACAAGAUUUCAACAUAUUUUCACGUAGUGACACAACACGUCAACAUAUUUCCACGUAGUGACACACCACAUCAACAUAUUUCCACAUAGUGACACACCACAUGAACAUAUUUUCACAUAGUGACACAACACGUCAACAUAUUUUCACAUAGUGACACAACACGUCAGCGUAUUUCACAAUUUGAAACAACACGUACAUAUAUAUCAUAUUGGGAUUUUAUACUGUAUCAUUUCACUAAUAAAUAAAAACUAGACUGAUUAAUUUCAGAUCAAAAUUAUAAGUAUACACAUUCCUUUAUAAAGAUCUCGUGGUAUUGCUUUGAAUGAUAAAAUUUAUUAUCUCUGACAUCAUAAAUGAUUUAUCAAAGCUAUUUUCAUGCCGAAAAAAUAAGUUUCAAAUGCAAAUAUUUCAUAUUUUGAUAGUGGAACGGGUAUAUCUAAUACAAGGAAAGGCCUUUAUGAAUUGUUUUAAUUACAUAGGGUUUAACGCCCUAUUUCAUUGUAACAGUAAACGUCACUUACGGGUGUGUUAUACAGCGAUAGUAAUGUAUAAGCGGAAAGCUUCAUAAAGAUAGAUAUACAAUGUUAUUGUCACAAUGAUUAGUUUUACACGGAUCGAAAUCACAAUCUUUUUUGUAAAUAUUCAGUACGCCUGCUAUUUUAAUAAUACCAAGUUAUUGAAUCAUAAAACCGUAAUAAAGGAUGGAAAUGAUUGACGUUUUCUUAUUACAGAUGCGUCAUCAAAUUCUCAUUUUGAAAGUUAUAUUAUGUAAAAAUAUGUCCAUGUUCUCGUAAACCUCGUCAAUAUGACGUCAAACUACUGCAUUGACCUUGUAAACUACGCCAAACUGACUUUUAUGCUAAUUAAGCGAUCAUAAAGGAGGGGGGGGAUAAAUCUAACAAAAUUGUUUAUUGCAUAGGUGAAUUCGUCACAUCUCCUGUAUUUCACCAAUUAUAUUCCGCAGACAAAAAUGUUCAUUCCUCAAAAUGAACGCUGAAAACUAGCUACAUGUGCAUGCAUAUGAUAGUCAUUAUGGCAGUACGGAACGUAUUUUCACGUAUUGCCACAACACGUCAACGAAUUUUCACAUAGUGACACAACACGUCAACAUAUUUUCGCGUAAUGACACAACACGCCAAUAUAUUUUCACAUAUUGACACAACACAUCAACACACUUUCAUACAGUGACACAACACGUCAACGUAUUUUCAAAUAGUGACACAACACGACAAAGUAUUUUCACAAAUUGAGGCAACAAGUCAACAUAUUUUCACAAUGUGACGCAAUAAGUCAAUAUAUUUUCACAUAGUGACACAACACGUCAACAUAUUUUCACGUAGUGACACAAGAUUUCAACAUAUUUUCACAUAGUGACACACCACAUCAACAUAUUUCCACGUAGUGACACACCACAUCAACAUAUUUUCACAUAGUGACACAACACGUCAGCGUAUUUCACAAUUUGAAACAACACGUACAUAUAUAUCAUAUUGGGAUUUUAUACUGUAUCAUUUCACCAAUUAAUGAAAAAUAGACAAUGAUUAAUUUCAGAUCAAAAUUAUAAGUAUACAAAUUCCUUUAUAAAGAUCUCGUGGUAUUGCUUUGAAUGAUAAAAUUCAUUAUCUCUGACAUCGCAGCAAUUGACCCAAACCUAGCGGAAAUACCAGUUGAUUGAUUAUGCAUAUGCUAUCUAGCCAAUAGGUUGCUAUGGAGAUUGACCAGAAUGACCUAUACCUUAUCAGGAGGUAAGAUCUGUACAGACCCGGGCCCCCAAGUACACAUAGUGUACCCUAGUCGUUAACAUGCGGGGUGUAGUACACUAAAUGCCACUCGUUGAUCCGAUUAAGCGCAACUUGUCAGCAAUGAAAUUUACUUAUUGUGAAUGAAAAAACAAUCAAUAAUUUCUGUUUCACCGGUUGACUGGCCUAAAGUUGUUUAUAAUAUGACCUAGGCCUAAUGUAUGCACACGUGUUGAUACAUAUAUAGUGUCAAUAUAGUGAACUCCUCUACCGCUAAGGGGAAGAGAGAAAUCCGUUAUAAUAUGAAGUCUUCGUAGAGAGUGGGAAAUAAAAAAUAAACAGACGGUUAAAACUAUUGUUAAUCGUACAUCAUGGUUAUCAGGAUUAGCGUUUGACCCGUUAAAUUCAAUUUAUAACUUUAAAAUGAACAUGGACAAACGUGCAAUCGUUUUCUUAUACAUGGCCUGACUGAUCAUCGAAGCUGCCGUAUUUUUUAACAUUAUCACAUUGCGUUAGUAUAGAAAAUGUGCACAUUACAAAAACACACUAGAGUUGCAUACCUUAAUUGAAGUUGCUCAAUGGACGGGAUUCCUCAAAACAUGAACAAGGACGUCUCAGAAAUCAAGUGAAGUUUCCAACACAAACAGGAAGUGAGAAAAACCGCGCAUAUAAGCGAAAGUGAAAAUUUGAAUAGAAUUAGAUUGGAAGUAGAAAUGGUAACAGCAUAGAUUUAUUUAGAAUAUUUGGCUCAUUUAGAAAUACUUCACGAAACAUAAAUUGUAUCAAACUGAUAUUAAAGUUACCAGAAUACAACGUUGUACCAACGUAAAUACAACGUUGUGUGCCCACUGGGAUAGGAAUGUUGAAGGAAGUCUUGCCCUGUACAUGUAUGUUUGUCUGCUGUAUGAAUGUUUGUCUGUUGUAUGUAUGUUUGUCUGCUGUAUGAAUGUUUGCCUGCUGUAUGAAUGUUUGCCUGCUGCAUGAAUGUUUGUCUGUUGUAUGAAUGUUUGUCUGUUGUAUGAAUGUUUGUCUGUUGUAUGAAUGUUUGUCUGUUGUAUGAAUGUUUGUCCUAAAAGAAUAUUUGUCAACUGCAUGAAUACCUGCACGUAAUCAUACGCCGGACGACAAACAAUGCCAAUAUUUACUUGGCUUCAUCAUAAAUCAAAAGUCGAAAUAAAUAUCUUUAGUAACACAACACACAUGUCCUUGGUAACAUAUGCGUUAUGGCUACACGUACAGUUGUUGACCAAAAUCUAACACAAAAAAGCCAAAUAUUGAAGUAAAAAGUUCACACUAACGUCAAAAUUAUGUUGGUGGAUAUGAACUGCAUACCAAAAAAACGUGUCUACACUGGCUAAUCAACUAGACUUUAAAAUUCAUAAAUAUGUCUUUAUCACUAAAAAUCAAAAGGGGAGCUUUAUACACCGUGUAUACAAUGCUAGACACACACAGAUAGUUAUAGAUAAGGGAAAACAAUAUCCGCACAUAUAGAUAUAGAUAUGUAUUUAUAUUGAAAGAUAUUAAUUUCGCUCAUAUCAAGUCAUGUUAGAUAGGCUUUGCCCACGUCAUAUACCCAUGCUCGCUGCUAUACACGUUUAUCGUUCAUCAUAACGUUACAUACGUUUAUUGUUUACAUGAUCAUUAUUGAAUAAACGAAUGA